rnacentral:rRNA from 1 species
AUCUAUGGCCAUGCCACCCUCGACACUCCUGAUCUCGUCUGAUCUCAGAAGCUAGGGUCGGGCCUGAGUAGUACUUGGAUGGGAGACCACGUAGGAAUAUCGGGUGUUGUAGGCU